rnacentral:rRNA from 1 species
UACGAAGGGGGCUAGCGUUGUUCGGAUUUACUGGGCGUAAAGCGCACGUAGGCGGCGAUCUAAGUCAGAGGUGAAAGCCCGGGGCUCAACCCCGGAAUAGCCUUUGAGACUGGAUUGCUAGAAUCCGGGAGAGGUGAGUAGAAUUCCGAGUGUAGAGGUGAAAUUCGUAGAUAUUCGGAAGAACACCAGUGGCGAAGGCGGCUCACUGGACCGGCAUUGACGCUGAGGUGACGAAGCGUGGGGAGCAAACAGG